CACGGGGGGAGCAAGCGUUGUUCGGAUUCAUUGGGCGUAAAGAGCUCGUAGGUGGCUCUGUAAGUCGGAGGUGAAAGACCACGGCUCAACCGUGGAAACGCCUUCGAUACUGUGGAGCUUGAGGCUGGGAGAGGAAAUCGGAAUUCCUGGUGUAGCGGUGAAAUGCGUAGAUAUCAGGAGGAACACCGGUGGCGAAGGCGGAUUUCUGGACCAGUUCUGACACUGAGGAGCGAAAGCCGGGGGAGCAAACAGG
rnacentral:rRNA from 1 species